CAAAAACAUGUCCUUUAGAUAUUUAUUUAAGGUCUAACCUGCCCACUGAUAAAUUAAAUGGCCGCAGUAUUUUAACUGUGCAAAGGUAGCAUAAUCAUUAGUCUUUUAAUUGAAGGCUUGUAUGAAGGGUUGGACGAGAUAUAUACUGUCUCAUAUGGAAUUAAUAUUAUAAUUUUAUUUUUUAGUUAAAAAGCUAAAAUUCUGUUGAAAGACGAGAAGACCCUAUAGAUCUUUAUAUAUAAAUUAUUUAUUAUUUUUUAGUUGUUAAUUUUAUUAAUUAAUUUAUAUAUUUUGUUGGGGUGACAUUAAAAUUUAUUAAACUUUUAAUUAUAAUUUUAACAUUUAUUUAUGAAAUUUUGAUCCAUUAUUAGUGAUUAUAAAAUUAAGUUACCUUAGGGAUAACAGCGUAAUUUUUUUGGAGAGUUCUUAUCGAUAAAAAAGGUUGCGACCUCGAUGUUGGAUUAAAAUUAAUGCUGAAUGUAGCAGUUUAGUAAUUUAAGUCUGUUCGACUUUUAAUAUUUUAC
rnacentral:rRNA from 1 species